rnacentral:rRNA from 1 species
UACGGGGGGGGCAAGCGUUGUUCGGAAUUACUGGGCGUAAAGGGCUCGUAGGCGGCCAACUAAGUCAUACGUGAAAUCCCUCGGCUUAACCGGGGAACUGCGUCUGAUACUGGAUGGCUUGAAUCCGGGAGAGGGAUGCGGAAUUCCAGGUGUAGCGGUGAAAUGCGUAGAUAUCUGGAGGAACACCGGUGGCGAAGGCGGCAUCCUGGACCGGUAUUGACACUGAAAAGCGAAAGCCAGGGGAGCAAACGGG